GAUGAACGCUAGCGGGAGGCCUAACACAUGCAAGCCGAGCGGUAUUGUUUCUUCGGAAAUGAGAGAGCGGCGUACGGGUGCGGAACACGUGUGCAACCUGCCUUUAUCUGGGGGAUAGCCUUUCGAAAGGAAGAUUAAUACUCCAUAACAUAUUGAUUGGCAUCAAUUAAUAUUGAAAGCUCCGGCGGAUAGAGAUGGGCACGCGCAAGAUUAGCUAGUUGGUGAGGUAACGGCUCACCAAGGCGAUGAUCUUUAGGGGGCCUGAGAGGGUGAUCCCCCACACUGGUACUGAGACACGGACCAGACUCCUACGGGAGGCAGCAGUGAGGAAUAUUGGUCAAUGGGUGCAAGCCUGAACCAGCCAUCCCGCGUGAAGGACGACUGCCCUAUGGGUUGUAAACUUCUUUUGUAUAGGGAUAAACCUACCCUCGUGAGGGUAGCUGAAGGUACUAUACGAAUAAGCACCGGCUAACUCCGUGCCAGCAGCCGCGGUAAUACGGAGGGUGCAAGCGUUAUCCGGAUUUAUUGGGUUUAAAGGGUCCGUAGGCGGACUUAUAAGUCAGUGGUGAAAGCCUGUCGCUUAACGAUAGAACUGCCAUUGAUACUGUAAGUCUUGAGUAUAUUUGAGGUAGCUGGAAUAAGUAGUGUAGCGGUGAAAUGCAUAGAUAUUACUUAGAACACCAAUUGCGAAGGCAGGUUACCAAGAUAUAACUGACGCUGAGGGACGAAAGCGUGGGGAGCGAACAGGAUUAGAUACCCUGGUAGUCCACGCCGUAAACGAUGCUAACUCGUUUUUGGGCUUUAGGGUUCAGAGACCAAGCGAAAGUGAUAAGUUAGCCACCUGGGGAGUACGCUCGCAAGAGUGGAACUCAAAGGAAUUGACGGGGGCCCGCACAAGCGGUGGAUUAUGUGGUUUAAUUCGAUGAUACGCGAGGAACCUUACCAAGACUUAAAUGGGAAUUGACAGCUUUAGAAAUAGAGCUUUCUUCGGACAAUUUUCAAGGUGCUGCAUGGUUGUCGUCAGCUCGUGCCGUGAGGUGUUAGGUUAAGUCCUGCAACGAGCGCAACCCCUGUCACUAGUUGCCAUCAUUCAGUUGGGGACUCUAGUGAGACUGCCUACGCAAGUAGAGAGGAAGGUGGGGAUGACGUCAAAUCAUCACGGCCCUUACGUCUUGGGCCACACACGUAAUACAAUGGCCGGUACAGAGGGCAGCUACACAGCGAUGUGAUGCAAAUCUCGAAAGCCGGUCUCAGUUCGGAUUGGAGUCUGCAACUCGACUCUAUGAAGCUGGAAUCGCUAGUAAUCGCGCAUCAGCCAUGGCGCGGUGAAUACGUUCCCGGGCCU
rnacentral:rRNA from 1 species